CGAACCACCUCAGCAGAGCCUCUUUCUCUGGAACACCCCCCUCCUUGGGCCCCGCCGAAAGUUUGACUCUAGGGAAGUUUGUGUCUGUUCCUGAAACUGAUUUCUCUUCCUCUCGUCUCCACUCUGUUCCAAGGUGUUGGUACUUGGAGAAGGAGCAUAAAGCCAGCUCUGUUGCAGCUUUUGGGUAGGGAGCUUUUCCCAGGGGGUCCCUGGUUUGGAGUUGGGGGUUGAGGCCUUAGAGCUGUCUUUGGAAGGAGGCCGGAUCAGACCCCAGGUGAGACCUGGGAGCCAGGAUCCGGACCCUGGGUAGCUUGAGUGGGGCUCAAGUUGAAGUCUUUGGGGGUGGGCAGAAAGGGGGGGGAUGCUCUCUGCUGCCCCUGGCCUUGCUGGAGAAAUCUUGGUUGAUGGAGCUGUUGCCAUGGGAAUGGAGAGAGCCUGAGCAGGGAGAGGCCACAUCUUCGUGCAGGGCCCGAUGCCCACGCUGCUCCUCCAGCCUCUGGCCCCCAGAGCGGAGGUUGGGAGCUGCACUGCCUUUGUUGCUGGAAGACUUAGGUUAUAAUUUACCGCGGGUGGAUCAGGGAUGCACGGAAGGAAGCUGAGAGAGGAAGAGGCAGAGAGGGGACAAGAAGCCCAGUUUCAGGAGACUAGAGGAUGUUUCGAUGCUGCUGGCAGGAGGGGCAGGUCCCAGGGUCAAGGAUCAGGGAACACGGAGGGGUUGACCUUGUCCCCAGGCAGACCCCUGUCCCCCCACCCCCAAAUACACGGAGCGCAUGCAGUUGGAGCCACAUGGCUAGGAGAGGAAUGCAUUUAGUACCUAACGUGGAGACUCCGUUUUCCUACCUGCUCCAUGGAAGGGGGGGAGGUGAUUAGUUCCUACCCCUCUCUCUCCUUCAAAGUGAGAAUGUGCACCGAAGCUCUUGUGUGGGCCGGACUCUGACCCUUCCCAGAAGGCACACUGAGUGGUCUUCUAGGGAACCUGGAGUCCUUCUACCUUCUCCCUGCCUGGGUGGAGUCAAGCUAGGCUUACUGAUUUCUUAAGUGAGUGGGAAGCCUGGCCCGGGUGCCACUGUGUAAAGAGCACUGGAAUGGGGGGCGCCUGGGUGGCACAGCAGUUGAGCGUCUGCCUUCGGCUCAGGGCGUGAUCCUGGCGUUCUGGGAUCGAGCCCCAUAUCGGGCUCCUCUGCUAUGAGCCUGCUUCUUCCUCUCCCACUCCCCCUGCUUGUAUUCCCUCUCUCGCUGGCUGUCUCUAUUUCUGUCG
rnacentral:lncRNA from 1 species